GGAGCUGUGUGGCUCAGAGGUAGAGCGUCUGCUUGACUUGCAGAAGGUUCCAAGUUCAGUCCCCAGUGUCUCUA
rnacentral:tRNA from 1 species